UACGUAGGGUGCGAGCGUUGUCCGGAAUUAUUGGGCGUAAAGAGCUCGUAGGCGGUGUGUCACGUCGGCCGUGAAAACCUGGGGCUUAACUCUGGGCGUGCGGUCGAUACGGGCAUCACUAGAGUUCGGCAGGGGAGACUGGAAUUCCUGGUGUAGCGGUGAAAUGCGCAGAUAUCAGGAGGAACACCUAUAGCGAAGGCAGCUCGCUGGUACGACACUGACGCUAAGGCGCGAAAGCGUGGGGAGCGAACAGG
rnacentral:rRNA from 1 species